rnacentral:rRNA from 1 species
AAGCGCACGCAGGCGGUUUGUUAAGUCAAAUGUGAAAUCCCCGAGCUUAACUUGGGAACUGCAUUUGAAACUGGCAAGCUAGAGUCUUGUAGAGGGGGGUAGAAUUCCCGGUGUAGCGGUGAAAUGCGUAGAGAUCUGGAGGAAUACCGGUGGCGAAGGCGGCCCCCUGGACAAAGACUGACGCUCAGGUGCGAAAGCGUGGGGAGCAAACAGGAUUAGAUACCCUGGUAGUCCACGCUGUAAACGAUGUCGACUUGGAGGUUGUGCCCUUGAGGCGUGGCUUCCGGAGCUAACGCGUUAAGUCGACCGCCUGGGGAGUACGGCCGCAAGGUUAAAACUCAAAUGAAUUGACGGGGGCCCGCACAAGCGGUGGAGCAUGUGGUUUAAUUCGAUGCAACGCGAAGAACCUUACCUACUCUUGACAUCCACAGAACUUUCCAGAGAUGGAUUGGUGCCUUCGGGAACUGUGAGACAGGUGCUGCAUGGCUGUCGUCAGCUCGUGUUGUGAAAUGUUGGGUUAAGUCCCGCAACGAGCGCAACCCUUAUCCUUUGUUGCCAGCACGUCAUGGCGGGAACUCAAAGGAGACUGCCGGUGAUAAACCGGAGGAAGGUGGGGAUGACUCAAGUCAUCAUGGCCC